AGAAAAUGCUUGACCUUUAAAGCCAUGGGCCCCGUGACCCUGCAUGGUUCCCCUGCUCUCUCCUCCACUCCUCUGAGCUCUGCUGUCCUUCAAGACCCAGCACACGUGUCUUCUCUCAGAGCCUUCCUGGACCAGCUCACUCCAGCCCAAUCCACGGUUAAAUAGCACCUCUUGUCCCAUGCACUUGGCACUUCCCAAAUGUCCUCCUAGGUUGUUCCACAUCUUCUGAUGUGUGCAUCCUGAUCCUCAUCUAGGUUCCAGGAAUACUGGAGGCAAGAUCUCUGUCUGAUGAUGUGUCUGUGCAGAAGCUCGGUGCUGAGGACGUAGGAGACCAGCAGUAGCAGAAGCCAUAGCUUGGAUGGAAUGAGGUGGCACAUGGAAUUGUACGCAAAUCCUGUGGGGAGGGACAUGUACCAGAUACAAGUCAAGGUUUACAGAAGCACACGUAGAUGUGCUCAGAUAUCUCCUCUCCAUCUGAAACCACAUCAGUGAUUGUACAGAGGGUUGGGAGAAUCCAUCUGGAAUCAGAAAUUUCAGAAUCAAACAAUACUGUGUUAGUGUUCGUAAACGGUGAAUUUUAAAAGGGAAAGAACACUUUAAAACAAUUUAAUAAAGAUAACAUGGAAAGAAUC
rnacentral:lncRNA from 1 species